GUCCCUUGGGGGUCAGUGGAAGGAUGGUUUAAACUGUUGGCUUUCGACCACUACGACCCGGGUUCGAUUCCCGCAUCGGACA